CACAACCCUAUCAGGCUCACCUCCCACUCCUCUCUCUCAUUCUCCUAGAUCCGCCGCCGCCCCCCUCCCCCACCAACCCCCUGCCGGCGUGUGACCUCUCCCGUCAUCUCGCUGGCCGGCGAGCCUGCCGCCUCCCUUCACCGCCACCAGCUCCCCAGCAUGGCUUCCCUCCCUCUUCCCCGCUUCCUACACCGCAUCUCCAUCCGGCCCUCCUCGAUCCCCUCUUCUUCUCCCCGGCCUCGUCCACCGCAUCGGGGCACCCAUGGAUCUGCCGCCACUUCUCAAGGGGUGCCCUCUGAUGACCGAUUCAUGGUGGUGCCAGCCAGAUCCGCGCGGUGACCCAGGGGUACUGAUGCCGUGCACCCAGCUGCCGCCACUGCCCGACCACCGGGGCAACUGGACGGUGCUCCCGUCUGCGAGAAAAUCACCCGCGCGGGCAAGGCGCUGAGCGCCGCGCUGGUGAUGGUGCUACUACUCCUGGCCGCCAUCACGGACGUGAUUGUCGCCUCUGAUGCUCCCGCCUACCGAGUGGCGCUGGAGCACCCGCGCCUCUUCCAUGCCGACCUCCGUUCCGUGCUUCGCCCCGUCGGCGCCCUGCUCGUUGCCUUCCUCCUCGGAUCCUUUACGCACUACAGCAACUCCGACCUGUGUCGCUGCCGUCAACCUCCUCUCCAGCGGCAAGGUUGAUCUGCUGCAUAAAAGUUGGAAAUGGGACCAUGAAGCUGGAAAUGGAGACCAUCAAUUGUUAUGGCGCUUCCAGACCAUAGAUUACUUCUCUGCGCCAUCCGCUACGACGCUGAAGACGCCAUGAGGAGGACUGGACGUCCUCGAGCGGUGCACUUGUGGGGUUGUGGCGCACACCGUACAUCCACGGGCGUCCUCAACCGGUGCUGCUUCUGGCCUCCUUGAUCAAGCAGUGCAGCUUCACUGCAUCGGCAGUUCUGGCGGUGGUGGUGGCGCUGCUCCUAUGAUGGGUAGGCUCAUCUGCCUCCCCUGGCCGCCGCCGUGGUGAUGAAGCUCGGCCUAGGCUACAACCCCCUCCGAUGAGCUCCUCACAUCCCCUUCUACCCCUCCUACUUGCUCCAUGAUUCUAUGCUCCGCAUUUAUGAGGUGUAAUUGUUCAAUUUUGUUCAUAGUCAAGCAUUGGAUGAUAUUGUAUUUGUCACGAUGUACAUGGUUCAUGAACUAUGCCAACGUGCAGCUUGUUAUACUAGUGAUAGUAGGAUAAUGCAAGUUUUGAUAAUCCAUACAUAUUUCCGCAUGUUUAGUGUCUCUCCGGUUUCUGACCUGUCUGCCUUCUAACGAAGAGAAACCAAGAACAGACACUUUGAUCAAUGCAUGAUUCAACUUGUUCUCUAUUUAAGGACCUUCUUAUUUUUGUUACCGAAAAUUAUGGAUUGCUGCUAUGAUCAAAUUUGUUUCACUCAUGGAGAUUAGCUCCUUUACUUGCUCUGGUUUGGUUAAGAUUGAUGAUACCAUGGAUAAGAGCAUGCACAUUACUACUGAAUCCGUUUCAUGUCUCUGUCUACUAAUCAUCAAUUACUACUAGUUGGCUUUUACAUGCUGACCAUUGUUGAUAGUUAGAUACUAGGUAUGUGAUGCGCUAAUUGUACACCUACAUUUCCAUGUUCCAACUCCUAUAGUCUUUGCCCGUGUUGGAUUUCGUUGCCUGUGUAAUAAAAUUAGUGUAGGUCUUUAAAGGAGUUUGUUAUUUCAGUUCUGGUUGUGUCAAAUCUUCACUAUGUACCAUCCUUAGUGUUUACUUAACCGAGGCAUUGGACAUCAGAAUUUGGGCAUGAUGUAUAAUUUCAGUUCUAGGUGUGUCCAACACAAACAUUACUGUCAACUAUCAAGUUGAUUCUAAAAUGUCUUAUUAACUUCAGUUCAGAUGGUUAUUUUUGGAUUUGGUACUAGUUUAUUGUUGGCCUGGCCUAUGCUUCGUACCUUGCUUUGGUUUCCAGUAGCAAGUAGAGCCUUAGUACCUUUUCUGUGUGGUGUCCAUGGAUUGAAAUUUUGGUUGUAUGUAUUUAUUAUAGUAUCAAAAAUGGCUCAAACCUUAAGUUCUUAGGCUGUGCAUAUGGCUACGCUCCAUUCUUUCGUGCGUGUUAAUUCAGUUUUGGUGUUGAUUUGAUGCCGAUGUUUAGAAACAAAAUUUUGAUGGAUGGGUUUAUUUCUGUAGUCUAAAUAGGUUAAUCUUCUUGGUUUGUUGGUGUGCAGAUGAUUGAUGAGCUGAUCUUCUUCCACCAGUUGUAGCGGGAGUGAUGCUGGAGCAGUACAGCGAUCAGAUACCUGUGCCAUUUGGGCAGGGAGACGCUGGGACGGCCCUAAUGCAGUAACACCGCCAUGUGGCAAAUCCAGCAGAUGGACACAACAUUGGUGCCUGGGUGAUGGGAUAAUGUAUGUGUACCAUUGACACGAUAUUUGUGCUUCUCGUCCAAUCUAUAUUAUUGUGCACUUGUGUACUUGUUGGGCCUUUUUGCUGUGCACUUGCAAUUGUAGAACUAUUUUUUGUUGUUGUGCACUUGUUGGUCCUUGAACCUUGUUGUGUAUAGGAGUUGAUGGAUGAUGUAUUGUAUUUCCUGUGAUGUGUUACUGAAAUGAAAUAUACACUUUUUGGAAAUAUUGUAUUAUGUUGUA